UGCUGGAGGUAUCAGAAGUGCGAAUGCUGACAUAAGUAACGAUAAAGCGGGUGAAAAGCCCGCUCGCCGGAAGACCAAGGGUUCCUGUCCAACGUUAAUCGGGGCAGGUGAGUCGACCCCUAAGGCGAGGCCGAAAGGCGUAGUCGAUGGGAAACAGGUUAAUAUUCCUGUACUUGGUGUUACUGGCGAAGGGGGGACGGAGAAGGCUAUGUUAGCCGGGCGACGGUUGUCCCGGUUUAAGCAUGUAGGCUGAUUGUCCAGGCAAAUCCGGAUAAUCAAGGCUGAGGUGUGAUGACGAGGCACUACGGUGCUGAAGUAACAAAUGCCCUGCUUCCAGGAAAAGCCUCUAAGCAUC
rnacentral:rRNA from 1 species